CGCGAAACCACAACACCAUCCUGCAACGGAGCACCACCAAGCAAGGGUACAGAGACAGGGAGGAUUAUCAGUAGGCCAUGCCACACCCCAAUCUGAAUGGACAUGUGAUACAGUGCUCUCUAAAGGAACACCCAACAGAACGUGAAAAAGUGGCCACAGAAGUGGAGGAUCAACAGAAACAAGUGCUACAGAAAAGUGAGCACAAAAUACAACCAGAGGAAGAAGUCGUGUUAAGGCCGAGACUCAGAAGUCUCACUUGGAAUCGCCCUAACAUGAAUGAAGACAAGGCUUCUGUUGAUUUGAAGAACACAGAGGAUCUCAACCAAGGAUAAUAUCAUAAUUGAUUCAGACACCAGAAUGUCUUACUGAUUGGUAUUGAAAUGCAGUCAGCAAAACAACAAGAAAACAAAACUUCUUUUCUA